AUUUCUAUAUAAAUGACUUGCUUUAGGCAUACAAAGUUGAAUGUACUGGUAUUUGCUCCAAGAAACUAAUCCAAAAAUUGAGCUUUCUGUGGACAGAAUCUACCAUGCCCAGGGACAUCUAUUGAUUUUAAUGAGGCUUUAUACAAGACCAAAUAUCUCCCCAUGUGGAAAUCCAUGAAUCAAAUUUGAAACUAUUUAGGACUAGUAAUAGGAAAGAACGAGAGUAAGGAAAGACUAUGCUGAUAAACCUCUCAGAGAGAAUCACAACUGUGGGCCAUUUUGAGAAGAUGUUCUGCUUCUUAAGGACAGCACUGACAAUGUCUACAUGCAUGUACUCCAGGGUAGAGUGGAUUUUUUGAACUCUAAGGUUAGCAGCAAAAUGAGCAACUGGGAGUCAAAGAGUAAGAACGCUUUCAGUACCCACAGUAUUUCAAGAAAGAAGACUUCUGCACUGAACCCUUGCCAAGAAUCUGGCCAGCUCUGCUAGAUGGCCAGCAGGGGCGUGUCUGGAAAAAAUGGUUGUUUUCCCACCUCUAUUUGAGAGAUAAAACUCUAGGAGGACUGAAAUGGAGAAUGAAAGCAUCUGCAGGAACUGAGCAGGGACAGUCCAGAAAUUUGAAAAUGAAAGACCAAGAUUUUUAAAAUAGACAAAUGAAAGGAGAAGAAAAGACAACAAUGACAUUUCUAAUUCUUUAGGUAAGUAGAUAGUAAAUAUGAAUAUAAAUUGUGAAAAAAAUUAAUCUUCUAAAUCCAAUGAAUAUGCAAUUUUUAUGUAGCACAGAAGAAAUUAAAUGUUUAAUUCUAGGUCUUUGCAAUUGGAAAAGUUAAAUUCAGUUAUCUUUACUGAAGAAAAGUUCUCCCACUUACCAGUCAUACCGUGCUACAACGUCUUGCGCCACUGUACAACUUAACAACAAAGCAGCACUAACAUUUUAGGUUAGGAGAUAUGAUUGUAUAAUUGAGCAAGUCAGAAACGUUAAAGAAAAAACAAACAAACAAAAAAACCCAGGUGUGAUUGUUCUGUAAAUAAUUUUUGGGUUAUACAUAAAUAUGGAAAUACUGAUGUUUGUCUCUAGUCUUAUCAGAAAAGAAGUAAAAAAAAAAAAAGUGAAUAUCUUACUAAAACAAUCAGAAGUGUCCAGGUGGUGCUCUUAGAGUACAUUAUUAA
rnacentral:lncRNA from 1 species